rnacentral:piRNA from 1 species
UAGAUAGUGAGGACUUGACUCUAGUG